CACAGAGUUAGCCGGUGCUUAUUCUGCGAGUAACGUCCACUAUCCAAGAGUAUUAGUCUCAGUAGCCUCCUCCUCGCUUAAAGUGCUUUACAACCAUAAGGCCUUCUUCACACACGCGGCAUGGCUGGAUCAGGGUUCCCCCCAUUGUCCAAUAUUCCCCACUGCUGCCUCCCGUAGGAGUCUGGGCCGUGUCUCAGUCCCAGUGUGGCGGAUCAUCCUCUCAGACCCGCUACAGAUCGUCGCCUUGGUAGGCCUUUACCCCACCAACUAGCUAAUCCGACUUAGGCUCAUCUAUUAGCGCAAGGUCCGAAGAUCCCCUGCUUUCUCCCGUAGGACGUAUGCGGUAUUAGCAUUCCUUUCGGAAUGUUGUCCCCCACUAAUAGGCAGAUUCCUAAGCAUUACUCACCCGUCCGCCGCUAAGAUAAGGUGCAAGCACCUCAUCUCCGCUCGACUUGCAUGUGUUAAGCCUGCCGCCAGCGUUCAAU
rnacentral:rRNA from 1 species